CAGCAGCCGCGGUAAUACGAGGGGGGCAAGCGUUGUUCGGAAUUACUGGGCGUAAAGGGCGCGUAGGCGGUCUGACAAGUCUUCCGUGAAAGCCCACGGCUCAACCGUGGAACUGCGGGGGAAACUGCCAGACUUGAGUCCGGGAGGGGAGAGUGGAAUUCCCAGUGUAGCGGUGAAAUGCGCAGAUAUUGGGAGGAACACCGGAGGCGAAGGCGUCUCUCUGGACCGGUACUGACGCUGAGGCGCGAAAGCCAGGGGAGCGAACGGGAUUAGAUACCCUGGUAGUCCACGCCGUAAACGAUGAGUGCUAAGUGUUAGGGGGUUUCCGCCCCUUAGUGCUGCAGCUAACGCAUUAAGCACUCCGCCUGGGGAGUACGGCCGCAAGACUGAAACUCAAAGGAAUUGACGGGGGCCCGCACAAGCGGUGGAGCAUGUGGUUUAAUUCGAAGCAACGCGAAGAGCCUUACCAGGUCUUGACAUCCUCUGACAAUCCUAGAGAUAGGACGUCCCCUUCGGGGGCAGAGUGACAGGUGGUGCAUGGUUGUCGUCAGCUCGUGUCGUGAGAUGUUGGGUUAAGUCCCGCAACGAGCGCAACCCUUGAUCUUAGUUGCCAGCAUUCAGUUGGGCACUCUAAGGUGACUGCCGGUGACAAACCGGAGGAAGGUGGGGAUGACGUCAAAUCAUCAUGCCCCUUAUGACCUGGGCUACACACGUGCUACAAUGGACAGAACAAAGGGCAGCGAAACCGCGAGGUUAAGCCAAUCCCACAAAUCUGUUCUCAGUUCGGAUCGCAGUCUGCAACUCGACUGCGCGAAGCUGGAAUCGCUAGUAAUCGCGGAUCAGCAUGCUGCGGUGAAUACGUUCCCGGGCCUUGUACACACCGCCCGU
rnacentral:rRNA from 1 species